UUUCAGUAGAUGUGAUAAUGGCCACCUAUGAGGAGAAAGCUACAGUUGUGUAUGGAUCAACGUCCAGGAAGGUAUGGGAGCUGCAGUUCGUUUAGUAGGUAAAGCAAGCAAGUUGUGUGGCACUGAGUUGGAUGCCCGGGAGAGAUGCAGUGGCAGAGCGCCCAUCGUUGGAAGCACAGUUUGGCAGUUUCCUGUGUUGCCCAAGGAACUGGGACUGCCCGGGCAGAGAGCUCAAGUUUUGAACACCGCACUACAAAUUGUAUGCCAAAGAAAUGCUUCCAUCUCACACUGUCCUCCAGACCAGAGGGAUUAUAUGGGCUUUCAGAAUCUUAUUAUACGUGGAGAAAUGCACAUAUCUUGCCUGAAGGACAUCUCAGAGAAAACUCGAGAACAGCUGCCUGGCAGAGGGCAGCGGUGGAUUCUUUGUGGACUGCUGAAGAAGGUUGGCACGAAUUACAAGGCUGAAGCACAAU
rnacentral:lncRNA from 1 species